AUUUAAAUAAAAUAAACAUGUAUAUGCAACACAAAAUAUUUAUAUUCCUUGUGUAAACAUAAUUUAAUUGAUUAGGAUUAAUAUGUUUUGUUUGAAUGUAAAAUGAACACAUUAUUCUCACAUUGAUUAAAAUUGAUUGAAUUGAAUACUUAAAGCAAUAAAAUUGGGUUUGCACACAAAACGGCACCUCCUGAGCAGCAGGGGCAGUAUAGCUCAAUGAAAGGACGUCAUUUGCCAUAAAAGAAGAAUAAAGAUCGUUUGUUUUGGGCGCCAAAAUGAAGACUCAGCACAGCAGUCAGUCAGAAGAACUCUCUCAGACGGACACCACAUUAUUAAAGUCCAUCAUCCUUGCAUGCGCUACACACUCAAAAGCAUUGAUAAAUGCUGAAUUUAAAAGAAUCACUACUGUCUUAUGUUCCUGUGUCACCUGGACCUCCAAUCCAAAAACCUGAUGAAACUCUUCUAUCAGAAAGGAGGACAGCUAGCAAAAAGACUUCAAACAAUUAAUGAUCAAAUGACAGAAGGCAUGGAUGAAGUCAGCAUCAGUGAGGUCAUUUGAAGACACCAAUGUUGGGAUUUGUGCUCUCAAACAACAUGCUUCUUGUGAUGAAGAAGAGGAUCUUUGUAUAGUCCUGGAAGCCAUGAAGGUGUUGCAACAUGUUGUUUGAGCUGAUGUAUGCCUUAAACCUGAGCUAUCCUGAUCUCCGCUUUAUUGUUGAGGAAAUCCAAACUGCAUUGAGAGUAACUUUAACGAACAGCUUCUUUCAGUGAAAGGAUCAGAAAGACUGUGCUGCUCAUUUUUUACUUUUUUAUCUGUUUUAAGUGUUUUCUCUUAUUAAUACAUUAACAGUUUGCUGCUCAGAGUCGAUUUUGGAAAUGGAUGUUGAAUUUUGUUUUUGUUGAAUCUUUGAUUAACAGUUUAUAAAUGCUGUAGCUCUGACUUUCUGAAGGAUUGAUAUUUUCCAGUUUGUAAAUCCAUUUAAAAAAUAAUAGUACUUACUGUUUUGCAUGUCUCUUUGGAAUGCAGUGUUUGUGUUUUAGCACUUCUAGAUCUACUGUGAUAGUAACUAUUUUAAACAUUUGGGUCAGUUUCACAGAUGGGGCUUUUCCUAGUCCCAGACUUUUGCAAUGCCAUAUAUCAGUGCCAUUGUUUUGUCUAAAGAUGUACUCCAGUGUUGUUUUUGUAAGGUAGGUUUGUUUGUAAACUUUAUUUUUGUAAAAAUAUCCUAAUAUAACUAGGGCCUAGUCAUGGAUUAAUCUACAACCUGUUUGGGAAAUUGCCCCUUUAUGUAUGUACUGCAUGUGCUGAUUGUUGUAAUAGUUAUUGACUGUUAUUGAAUUAAUGUGUAGUGAUUUAAAUGAAUUGAUUAUCUGAAAGCAGUGGUUUGCCUCAAUAUCACUAAACAUUUGUACAAAACUCUUUGCUUUUUAUGCCAAUGCAAAUGUAUUUUGUAUUUUUUUUAAAUAAAUAACAUUUGGAUAAUUAUGGGUGAUUAUUCUGGUGCCAGAGACAUAAUGAAAUUGCUUUAGAGUUACAUAAUCCCAUAAUAUAAGCAUUAAAAAAGCAUGUUGGAAUUAGAGAUGAAAAUCUAGUCCCCUUACAUAAUAAAAUUACUUAAAAAUUACAAAAUAAAUGUGUUAUAGUAAAGAGAAAUAUCACUUUGAGUCAACAUAUUUCUAUUAGACUACUUAAAAUAAUUAAAAUGUUUUGGUCUGACACACAAAAAUUAAUUGUGGAAAAUUAUUUUGGUUUUAAACAAUCGGAUC